rnacentral:rRNA from 1 species
AGCGAACGCUGGCGGCAGGCUUAACACAUGCAAGUCGAGCGGGCACUUUCGGGUGUCAGCGGCGGACGGGUGAGUAACGCGUGGGAACGUGCCCUCUGGUUCGGAAUAACUCAGGGAAACUUGAGCUAAUACCGGAUACGCCCUUUUGGGGAAAGGCUUGCUGCCGGAGGAUCGGCCCGCGUCUGAUUAGCUAGUUGGUGAGGUAACGGCUCACCAAGGCGACGAUCAGUAGCUGGUCUGAGAGGAUGAUCAGCCACGCUGGGACUGAGACCCGGCCCAGACUCCUACGGGAGGCAGCAGUGGGGAAUAUUGGACAAUGGGCGCAAGCCUGAUCCAGCCAUGCCGCGUGAGUGAUGAAGGCCUUAGGGUUGUAAAGCUCUUUUAUCCGGGACGAUAAUGACGGUACCGGAGGAAUAAGCCCCGGCUAACUUCGUG